rnacentral:rRNA from 1 species
UACGGAGGGGGUUAGCGUUGUUCGGAAUACUGGGCGUAAAGCGCGCGUAGGCGGUUUGAUAAGCGAGAUGUGAAAGCCCCGGGCUUAACCUGGGAACGGCAUUUCGAACUGUCAGGCUAGAGUAUGGUAGAGGAGUGUGGAAUUUCCUGUGUAGCGGUGAAAUGCGUAGAUAUAGGAAGGAACACCAGUGGCGAAGGCGGCACUCUGGACCAAUACUGACACUGAGGUGCGAAAGCGUGGGGAGCAAACAGGAUUAGAUACCCCCGUAGUCC